rnacentral:rRNA from 1 species
UCCCAAGGUUGGGCUGUUCGCCCAUUAAACGGUACGCGAGCUGGGUUUAGAACGUCGUGAGACAGUUCGGUCCCUAUCCGCUGUGCGCGUAGGAAUAUUGAGAAGGGCUGUCCCUAGUACGAGAGGACCGGGACGGACGAACCUCUGGUGUGCCAGUUGUCCUGCCAAGGGCAUGGCUGGUUGGCUACGUUCGGGAGGGAUAACCGCUGAAAGCAUCUAAGCGGGAAGCCUGCUUCGAGAUGAGUAUUCCCACCUCCUUGAGAGGGUAAGGCUCCCAGUAGACGACUGGGUUGAUAGGCCGGAUGUGGAAGCCCAGUAAUGGGUGGAGCUGACCGGUACUAA